UACGAAGGGACCUAGCGUAGUUCGGAAUUACUGGGCUUAAAGAGUUCGUAGGUGGUUGAAAAAGUUAGUGGUGAAAUCCCAGAGCUUAACUCUGGAACUGCCAUUAAAACUUUUCAGCUAGAGUAUGAUAGAGGAAAGCAGAAUUUCUAGUGUAGAGGUGAAAUUCGUAGAUAUUAGAAAGAAUACCAAAUGCGAAGGCAGCUUUCUGGAUCAUUACUGACACUGAGGAACGAAAGCAUGGGUAGCGAAGAGG
rnacentral:rRNA from 1 species